rnacentral:lncRNA from 1 species
AAAAUUUAAUUUAGAUUUAAUUAGUGGUGCACUGUAAUCAAGAUACAUGGUUUCAAGGAGAUGUUUUUAAUACUGAAGGGGUAAAAGUUGCCUUUGUUUAAUUGGAACUCCCACUGACAGUGACCUGAAAAGAUUUGCCUUUUGGGUUGGGUGGCUGUAGCCAGCACAGGAUCAAACCAGUUCCUGGGGCAGGCAGGCUACAGGACAAAUGCUGCACUGUGCCCUCUGCUCCCAAGUACAUGAAUGGGAAGGACAAAGAAGAACAAAACUUUGGGAAAGAGUUUCUUUCCAUCAUUAAA